CAUGCAAGUCCGACGGCAGCGGGGUAGUGCUUGCACUACUGCCGGCGAGUGGCGAACGGGUGAGUAAUAUAUUGGAACGUACCGAGUAAUGGGGGAUAACCAAUCGAAAGAUUGGCUAAUACCGCAUACGCUCUGAGGAGGAAAGCAGGGGACCUUCGGGCCUUGCGUUAUUCGAGCGGCCAAUAUCUGAUUAGCUAGUUGGUGGGGUAAAGGCCUACCAAGGCGACGAUCAGUAGCGGGUCUGAGAGGAUGAUCCGCCACACUGGGACUGAGACACGGCCCAGACUCCUACGGGAGGCAGCAGUGGGGAAUUUUGGACAAUGGGCGCAAGCCUGAUCCAGCCAUGCCGCGUGUCUGAAGAAGGCCUUCGGGUUGUAAAGGACUUUUGUUAGGGAAGAAAAAGGAGCGGUUAAUACCCGUUUCUGCUGACGGUACCUAAAGAAUAAGC
rnacentral:rRNA from 1 species